rnacentral:rRNA from 1 species
GACGAACGCUGGCGGCGUGCUUAACACAUGCAAGUCGAACGGAAAGGCCCUGCUUUUGUGGGGUGCUCGAGUGGCGAACGGGUGAGUAACACGUGAGUAACCUGCCCCUGACUUUGGGAUAACUUCAGGAAACUGGGGCUAAUACCGGAUAGGAGCUCCUGCUGCAUGGUGGGGGUUGGAAAGUUUCGGCGGUUGGGGAUGGACUCGCGGCUUAUCAGCUUGUUGGUGGGGUAGUGGCUUACCAAGGCUUUGACGGGUAGCCGGCCUGAGAGGGUGACCGGCAACAUGGGGACUGGGAUACGGCCCAGACUCCUACGGGAGGCAGCAGUGGGGAAUAUUGCACAAUGGGCGGAGGCCUGAUGCAGCAACGCCGCGUGCGGGAUGACGGCCUUCGGGUUGUAAACCGCUUUCGCCUGUGACGAAGCGUGAGUGACGGUAAUGGGUAAAGAAGCACCGGCUAACUACGU